rnacentral:misc_RNA from 1 species
GAUGAAGAACGCAGCGAAAUGCGAUAAGUAAUGUGAAUUGCUGAAUUCAGUGAAUCAUCGAAUCUUUGAACGCACCUUGCGCUCCUUGGUAUUCUGAGGAGCAUGCCUGUUUGAGUGUCAUUAAAUUCUCAACUACACUGACUUUGAAUUGGUGUGGCUUGGAUUUGGGGGGAAAAUUGUUGUGGGCUUUUUGUAUAGUCUGCUCCCCUGAAAUUGAUUAGCGGUACCUUUGUGGAACUGUCUACAGGUGUGAUAAUUAUCUACAUCUUAGACAUCUGCUGGAAUGCUGCUUUCUAAACCUUACUUGUAUUGACAAUCUUGACCUCAAAUCAGGUAGGACUACCCGCUGAACUUAAGCAUAUCAAUAAGCGGAGGA